rnacentral:rRNA from 1 species
AGGACUAACGCUGGCGGCGUGCCUAACACAUGCAAGUCGAACGAGGUAGCAAUACCUAGUGGCAGACGGGUGAGUAACACGUAGUCAACCUUCCCGAUAGUGGGGGAUAACUAGCCGAAAGGUUAGCUAAUACCGCAUACGAUCUUCGAGUGGCAUCAUUUGAAGAUGAAAGGAGCAAUCCGCUUUCGGACGGGACUGCGUCCCAUUAGCUAGAUGGUGGGGUAAUGGCCUACCAUGGCAACGAUGGGUAGCUGGUUUGAGAGAGCGACCAGCCACACUGGGACUGAGAAACGGCCCAGACUCCUACGGGAGGCAGCAGUGAGGAAUUUUCCGCAAUGGGCGAAAGCCUGACGGAGCGACGCCGCGUGUGGGAAGAAGGCCUUCGGGUCGUAAACCACUGUCGAAGGGGAAAUACUGAUGGUACCCUUGGAGGAAGCCCCGGCUAACUACGUGCCAGCAGCCGC